GUCAGUGCCGCCGAGAGGAAUGAAUAAACGAGGCGAAAGAUUCACACAGCAGUUGAAGGAAUCCUAAGGACGUUUUCAUCCUCUUGGAUAACGGGGUUUUCGUUAAGUUCGCCUGUACUUAAACGCGAGGAUAUCACAAAGCACGUCUCAGAGAAGAAGUGUGAAGCAGAUUUCUGAAAAGCAUCACGCUUACCAUCAGCUGGAAGGGAGAGACAUUUACAGGUAAAUGUGACAGACCUCUAACAAAAGACAGCAAGACUUCAGCAAAGGCAGUCGGU
rnacentral:lncRNA from 1 species